rnacentral:misc_RNA from 1 species
UAGCAGCGACAAUUUUUUGGUGUACAAAAUAAUAAACAAGAUUCCGUUUGUAAAAUUUUCCCUUCAACGCUUUUAUCAAAAAUCAUAAUGGAAGAUUUCAAGCAGUUAUUGCAACAGAAUGUCUACCGAUAUGAAUCAACGGACUCUAAUUCAGCCACCGAUAGCGAAGAAAGUACAAUUUCAGGUGUGAAAAACGAUGUAAAGGCAGUUUUUCAAGGUCGGAUGCCAACUAGGCGGCCCAAUCCAAAUGUCCAAAAUAGAAAUGCUUUGUUGGCACGGGAAAAUCGUCGAAAGAAGAAAGCGCAUUUAGAGGCAAUGGAGAAGGAGUUGGAGGAAGUGCGAUCGGCCAAUAAGCAGCUUAAGAAGGCGUUGAAACAGCAAAUGAAAGCAGUAAACCUACUUCAACGAGAAAAAAGGUAUUUUCAGANCGUUAUUGCAAAUCACAAAGAAAUAGAGAAUCUUAUUAAAGCUCUGAAUGUUCGAAUGCAUGUUCAGCAGUCUCCGCCCGUAAAUUCGCCAAUGCUGAGUUCUCCAGUUCAUUCGUAUACCAGUCAGCAAUUAUGCCAGUCGUCAACGAUUUUACAGCAAACAAACGGUUUGGACAAUGUUGAAUGGAAUGUGGCAUCAACAUCGGAAAAUUCGGAUAAUGAUUUUAUACCAUCGUCAACUUUUAAUGACACGUGGGUCGAUAUCUUCCACGAAGACCUAGGAACUAAAGGUUUGACAAAAUUAACCACAGUUGGAGGAGAGCAUAGUUAUGCGGACGUUGAUCAAGUGCCAUCACUUGAAAGUAUAGAAUCUGAUGCGGGCAUUUGCUUACAUAUAAGGCAAGGAAAGGUGUCUUUAGAGUUUUGCCCGAAUUGCAGUUGGAAUUCUAACGAUUAUCCAUCUGCAAAUAUUUUGCAAAAUUAAUUGUUAAUUAAUUUGUUCUCUUUUACUUUUAGAAAACUAGUCUAUUAAUGUUAUUUAUGCUUUAAUGAAAUGUAAGGUUUUGUCAUCNCUUAAUCGGAGUGCGUAAAAUAUUAAGCAAACUAACUUGCAGUAUAACAGCUCUCAACCUAUAUACUAUACAACAAAAAAUUAAUAUUUGGUUUGCUGCAUAAUGAAACGAAUUAUGGUAAUUCGGUAAAAUGAAUUGUUAUAAAUUUUAUUAUAACUGGAUUGAAUUAAUAAGCAGAAUAAUCUAUUUAUGUAAAAGCUUGUAAAAUAGACUACCUACUCCUUAUAUUUUAGAGCACUCCGAAUUAUAUCGAUGAAAUGUUUUUUGGAUGAAUAAGUUAAAAGAUUUACUAUAAUUAAAUUAAA